rnacentral:rRNA from 1 species
UUGACGGGGGCCCGCACAAGCGGUGGAGCAUGUGGUUUAAUUCGAUGAUACGCGAGGAACCUUACCUGGGCUCAAAUGUAUGUUGACGUAUUCUGAAAGGGAUACUUCUUCGGACAAUAUACAAGGUGCUGCAUGGUUGUCGUCAGCUCGUGCCGUGAGGUGUCGGGUUAAGUCCCAUAACGAGCGCAACCCCUAUCAUUAGUUGCCAUCAGGUCAAGCUGGGGACUCUAAUGAAACUGCCUACGCAAGUAGUGAGGAAGGUGGGGAUGACGUCAAAUCAGCACGGCCCUUACGUCCAGGGCUACACACGUGCUACAAUGGCCGGUACAAAGGGCAGCUACCUGGUGACAGGAUGCAAAUCUCCAAAGUCGGUCUCAGUUCGGAUCGGAGUCUGCAACUCGACUCCAUGAAGUUGGAAUCGCUAGUAAUCGUGGAUCAGCAUGCCACGGUGAAUACGUUCCCGGGCCUU